rnacentral:rRNA from 1 species
CCUACGGGAGGCAGCAGUGGGGAAUAUUGGACAAUGGGCGAAAGCCUGAUCCAGCCAUGCCGCGUGUGUGAAGAAGGUCUUCGGAUUGUAAGGCACUUUAAGUUGGGAGGAAGGGCAGUAACCUAAUACGUUAUUGUUUUGACGUUACCGACAGAAUAAGCACCGGCUAACUCUGUGCCAGCAGCCGCGGUAAU